CGGACCAAGGAGUUCAGUACGCACGCGAGCCAUUGACGUUUUUCAUUGAACAGUCGAAAGCGAAAUGAAACUGUUAAUGAAAAUGAACUGUACUUCUUUAUGGAGUGCUGUUCAAUUUUUCAACAUGAUCGUCCUUUUUUGUGCUUAAUUGUGCAAAAUAAUAGAUGUAUGGGGACGCGCAGUGUGGUGCCGUUGAAUAGUCGCACUGUUCUCUCUUUCUCUUCGGGGUUGGAGGAACAAUUGUCGAUCAGUCGGUUUCGGAGCGUGCACACUGGUACCCGAAAGAUGGUGAACUAUGCUUGAGCAGAAUGAAGCCAGAGGAAACUCUGGUGGAAGUUCGUAGCGGUGUUGACGUGCAAAUCACUCGUCUGACUUGAGUGUAGGGGCGAAAGACUAAUCGAACCAUCUAAUUGCUGGUUCCUUCCGAAGUUUCCCUCAGGAUAGCU
rnacentral:ncRNA from 1 species